AUUGAACGCUGGCGGCAUGCCUUACACAUGCAAGUCGAACGGCAGCACGGGAGCAAUCCUGGUGGCGAGUGGCGAACGGGUGAGUAAAGUAUCGGAACGUGCCCAGUCGUGGGGGAUAACGUAGCGAAAGUUACGCUAAUACCGCAUACGAUCUAUGGAUGAAAGCGGGGGAUCGCAAGACCUCGCGCGAUUGGAGCGGCCGAUAUCAGAUUAGGUAGUUGGUGGGGUAAAGGCUCACCAAGCCGACGAUCUGUAGCUGCUCUGAGAGGACGACCAGCCACACUGGGACUGAGACACGGACCAGACUCCUACGGGAGGCAGCAGUGGGGAAUUUUGGACAAUGGGCGCAAGCCUGAUCCAGCCAUGCCGCGUGCAGGAUGAAGGCCUUCGGGUUGUAAACUGCUUUUGUACGGAACGAAAAGGUUUGACUUAAUACGUUGGACUCAUGACGGUACCGUAAGAAUAAGCACCGGCUAACUACGUGCCAGCAGCCGCGGUAA
rnacentral:rRNA from 1 species